rnacentral:ncRNA from 2 species
AGCAUCAGCCAGGGGUGCCACCAGAGGGAGUGGUGAGCUGAGAAACACCCUUUGAACUUGCUCUGGGUAAUACCAGCGGAAGGAGGCUGCUUUUUGCUAUG